rnacentral:tRNA from 2 species
GUUCUUGUAGUUGAACUACAACGGUGGUUUUUCAUAUCGCUGGUCAUGGUUAGAGUCCAUGCAGGAAUU